rnacentral:rRNA from 1 species
UGGGGAAUUUUGGACAAUGGGCGAAAGCCUGAUCCAGCAAUGCCGCGUGUGUGAAGAAGGCCUUCGGGUUGUAAAGCACUUUUGUCCGGAAAGAAAUGGCUCUGGUUAAUACCUGGGGUCGAUGACGGUACCGGAAGAAUAAGGACCGGCUAACUACGUGCCAGCAGCCGCGGUAAUACGUAGGGUCCAAGCGUUAAUCGGAAUUACUGGGCGUAAAGCGUGCGCAGGCGGUUGUGCAAGACCGAUGUGAAAUCCCCGAGCUUAACUUGGGAAUUGCAUUGGUGACUGCACGGCUAGAGUGUGUCAGAGGGGGGUAGAAUUCCACGUGUAGCAGUGAAAUGCGUAGAGAUGUGGAGGAAUACCGAUGGCGAAGGCAGCCCCCUGGGAUAACACUGACGCUCAUGCACGAAAGCGUGGGGAGCAAACAGGAUUAGAUACCCUGGUAGUCCACGCCCUAAACGAUGUCAACUAGUUGUUGGGGAUUCAUUUCCUUAGUAACGUAGCUAACGCGUGAAGUUGGACCGCCUGGGGAGUACGGUCGCAAG